AGCAAUGACGUAAAAAAUACGCCAAUUACUGUUUGUUGAUUGGCCAUCGACAAAAUGUUUUAUGUAUUAGGUCAUGCAUAAAACAUUUUUUGCAUUCCCAGAAUUCCCUACGAUUUGAGCAAGAAAAUGACGAAAAUGGCGGUUGUAUGAACUGCGACUUUGAAAUUUUUCAAUUACGAACAAGGACACACUUUUCUUUUAAGUGAAUUUCUAUUAUAAUAGAAGUUUGUCAAGUACAUCUCAGUGAAGCAGAAAAUCUUCAGGCGAACAUUGACAUCGGAGUGAUACCCUAUGAUAUCAAGAAAAAUCCUAUGGAACCAAGAAGCAGAUAAUGACCACAGAGGUGCAACAGAGACUACCAGUACCUGAUCAUCGUAUGUUAUGGUGUAGAUCUCAGGAACAGGACACCUAAGUUGAACUCUGGCAAGGUUGUCCCAAGCUGCAUGGUUUGAUACCCAGGCUUCUUUUGUACAAGUCCCUAGUCCACCCUCAUCUUGAGAUCUGUUCCGGUGUCUGGGAUCCCUACAACAUCUAAGAUGUCCAGGACGCUACUUCACAAUGGGGACCACAAGAGAACCAGCAGUUUGACUGAGAUGAUCAGCACCUUUUAGUUGCCUACUAUAUCUACAACUACAAGGCACUCUGCAAGAAGACUGGGAAUGGUGCAUAAGAUAGUCAAUGGUCUCUCCGCUCUCCCUUGAAAAUUUUCCCACUGCACUACUUAUAGCUACUUGCGCCCUCUAUAUAGCAAACAAUGCCUAAUCGGUGACUGUUGGUCCCCCAUGAUCCCCUUUUUCUUAUAUUAAUUGAGAGCUGAUAUGAUGAGAUAACCACCUGUCAGUGACCUUGCAAGGUGGUCUAAUCCCCCUGGUCAAACUAGUACAGACGGGCUUUAACAAAUCACGAGCAGGAAGUACCAUGACAUGACCCUCCA